rnacentral:rRNA from 1 species
AACGAACGCUGGCGGCAUGCCUAACACAUGCAAGUCGAACGAAGGCUUCGGGCCUUAGUGGCGCACGGGUGCGUAACGCGUGGGAAUCUGCCCUUGGGUUCGGAAUAACUCAGAGAAAUUUGAGCUAAUACCGGAUGAUGACGUAAGUCCAAAGAUUUAUCGCCCAAGGAUGAGCCCGCGUAAGAUUAGCUAGUUGGUGGGGUAAAGGCCUACCAAGGCGACGAUCUUUAGCUGGUCUGAGAGGAUGAUCAGCCACACUGGGACUGAGACACGGCCCAGACUCCUACGGGAGGCAGCAGUGGGGAAUAUUGGACAAUGGGCGAAAGCCUGAUCCAGCAAUGCCGCGUGAGUGAUGAAGGCCUUAGGGUCGUAAAGCUCUUUUACCAGGGAUGAUAAUGACAGUACCUGGAGAAUAAGCUCCGGCUAACUCCGUG